AUUGAACGCUGGCGGCAUGCCUUACACAUGCAAGUCGAACGGUAACGGGCCUUCGGGUGCCGACGAGUGGCGAACGGGUGAGUAAUGCAUCGGAACGUACCAUUGAGCGGAGGAUAACGUAGCGAAAGUUACGCUAAUACCGCAUACGUCCUGAGGGAGACAGCGGGGGAUCGAAAGACCUCGCGCGUUAGGAGCGUCCGAUGGCGGAUUAGCUAGUUGUUGGGGUAAAGGCUAACCAAGGGGACUAUCCGUAGCUGGUCUGAGAGGACGACCAGCCAAAAUGGAACUGAGACACGAUCCAGACUCCUACGGGAGGCAGCAGUUGGGAAUUUUGGACAAUGGGCGAAAGCCUGAUCCAGCCAUUCCGCGUGAGUAAAGAAGGCCUUCGGGUUGUAAAGCUCUUUCGGCAGGAACGAAACGGUGUGGGCCAAUACCCUGCAUCAAUGACGGUACCUGAAGAAGAAGCACCGGCUAACUACGUGCCAGCAGCCGCAGUAA
rnacentral:rRNA from 1 species